rnacentral:rRNA from 1 species
AUUGAACGCUGGCGGCAGGCCUAACACAUGCAAGUCGAACGCGUGGCGGACGGGUGAGUAAUGUCUGGGAAACUGCCUGAUGGAGGGGGAUAACUACUGGAAACGGUCGCUAAUACCGCAUACCAUCAGAUGUGCCCAGAGGGGAUUAGAUUGUUGGUGGGGUAACGGCUCACCAAGGCGACGAUCCCUAGCUGGUCUGAGAGGAUGACCGGCAACACGGGAACUGAGACACGGUCCAGACGCCUAGGGGAGGCAGCAGUGGGGAAUAUUGCACAAGGGGCGCAAGCCUGAUGCAGCCAUGCCGCGUGAAUGAAGAAGGCCUUCGGGUUGUAAAGUACUUUCAGCGGGGAGGCGUUACCCGCAGAAGAAGCACCGGCUAACUCCGUGCCAGCAGCCGCGGUAAUUC